rnacentral:misc_RNA from 2 species
AACGCAUAUUGCGCUCUCUGGUAUUCCGGGGAGCAUGCCUGUUUCAGUAUCAUUAAAAUCUCUCAUACCAAAAGUUUUUUUUGGACUUUUGGAUUAUGGAUUUGAGUCUGCUAACGAGAAAAACAAGUUAGCUGGCUUUAAAUGGAGUUAAAGCAGGAUCCAGGUUUAUCUGGGUGAAAAAAAGCGUAAUAGUUUGGCUUUGCGUCAAUCUUUCGCUUGAAAAAAGCCCUGACUGGAGUUGCUUUAAUUUUGCAGGAAAUGAAGGAAAAAGAUUAGUUUCUUUUUCUUUUAUUUUUAAACUUGAUCUGAAAUCAGGUAGGAUUACCCGCUGAACUUAA